rnacentral:rRNA from 1 species
AUUGAACGCUGGCGGCAGGCCUAACACAUGCAAGUCGAGCGGAGCGGCGGACGGGUGAGUAAUGCCUAGGAAUCUGCCUGGUAGUGGGGGAUAACGUCCGGAAACGGGCGCUAAUACCGCAUACUAUCAGAUGAGCCUAGGUCGGAUUAGCUAGGUGGUGGGGUAAAGGCCUAACAAGGCGACGAUACGUAACUGGUCUGAGAGGAUGAUCAGUCACACUGGAACGGAGACACGGUACAGACGACUCCGGGAGGCAGCAGUGGAGAGUGGUGGAUAAUGGGCUAAAGCCUGAUCCAGCCCUGCCGCGUGUGUGAAGAAGGUCUUCGGAUUGUAAAGCACUUUAAGUUGGGAGGCGGUACCAAAAGAAUAAGCACCGGCUAACUUCGUGCCAGCAGCCGCGGUAAUAC